GUAAUAUCACCUACAGCAUGA
rnacentral:misc_RNA from 1 species